UACGGAGGGUGCGAGCGUUGUCCGGAAUCACUGGGCGUAAAGGGCGCGUAGGUGGCCCGUUAAGUGGCUGGUGAAAUCCCGCGGCUCAACUGCGGGGCUGCCGGUCAUACUGGCGAGCUAGAGCACGGUAGGGGCAGAUGGAAUUCCCGGUGUAGCGGUGGAAUGCGUAGAGAUGCGGAGGAACACCGAUGGCGAAGGCAGCCCCCUGGGCCAACACUGACGCUCAGGCACGAAAGCGUGGGGAGCAAACAGG
rnacentral:rRNA from 1 species